rnacentral:rRNA from 1 species
GAUGAACGCUAGCGUCGUGCCUAACACAUGCAAGUCGAACGGGGGUACCCGAAACGGAGACUUCGGUCAAAGUUUUGGACUACCUAGUGGCGGACGGGUGAGUAACGCGUGAGCAAUCUGCCUCACAGAGGGGGGAUAACACAGAGAAAUUUGUGCUAAUACCGCAUAAUAUAUAGAGGAGACAUCUUCUUUAUAUCAAAGAUUUAUCGCUGUGAGAUGAGCUCGCGUCUGAUUAGCUAGUUGGUGGGGUAACGGCCUACCAAGGCGACGAUCAGUAGCCGGACUGAGAGGUUGAACGGCACAUUGGGACUGAGACACGGCCCAGACUCCUACGGGAGGCAGCAGUGGGGAAUAUUGCGCAAUGGGGGAACCCUGACGCAGCAACGCCGCGUGAAGGAGAAGGCCUCGGUUGGUAAAC